rnacentral:rRNA from 1 species
AUUGAACGCUGGCGGCAGGCUUAACACAUGCAAGUCGAGCGAGCGGCGGACGGGUGAGUAAUGUCUGGGAAACUGCCUGAUGGAGGGGGUUAACUACGGGAACCGGUAGCUAAUACCGCAUACCUUCGGUUUUGCCCGGAUGGGAUUAGCUAGUAGGUGGGGUAAUGUCUCACCUAGGCGACGAUCCCUAGCUGGACUGAGAGGAUGACCAGCCACACUGGAACUGAGACACGGUCCAGACUCCUACGGGAGGCAGCAGUGGGGAAUAUUGCACAAUGGGCGCAAGCCUGAUGCAGCCAUGCCGCGUGUGUGAAGAAGGCCUUCGGGUUGUAAAGCACUUUCAGCGAGGAGGCGUUACUCGCAGAAGAAGCACCGGCUAACUCCGUGCCAGCAGCCGCGGUAAUUC